UUGAUAUCAUGCAUCUAGGUAAUUUUCGUUAGUAAAAUAUCGGUAAAUUCUUUUUUCACAUCAUGUUACAUUUUUGAUAGAGUAACAACGACAAACUAUUGACUGGAUCCAUUUUCAUUGGCGGAUACGUAGGUAUUAGUUGUGUUUUCUAGUGCGUUGAUGUUUCGGAAGGCUUAAAAAUCUUCUUUAACAGUAACUGGUAUCAUGCAUCUACCAUCCAUUCACCUUUCUACAUUGUUGGGUGUUUCUCGAUACUCCAAUCUCAAAGCAUUAGGUUUCUCUACUUGAUGCGGCUUAAUCCAAGCUUGGAAAUGUUGGAUAUUGUUUGCCAAGUGUACUUGACCCGCUAAAGAUUAUAACAACAUUUGAAGUCAACUUUUAGUCGUUAAAGCCUCAAAAGCAUUGUCGUAUAUGAACAUGGUUUGAUCUACACAACUUAGCACCCGUAUAAUACAUGAUAAUUUGCCUUUUAUAUAUGGUCUGAAAAAUAUCUUUUCUUCAGAUCAUAAAUGAAACUAAAAAUACCCGAUAUCGUCUGAUAAUACAACCAAUUUCUAAAACUUAUAAGAAAUACAUUUAUCUAUAUGAUUAAAUAUUUUUUAGAAAAACAUUUAUUUAUCGGAUUAAAUAUAAAUGAAUAAAGUGUGUGGGUAUAGGUUAGAUAUGGAAUUGGGAGGCUAGAAAGAAGAUAAGAAACUAACAUAGGAAGAGAAGAGGAAUUGAUUCAAUGCAUGGCCACAUGAAGUGAUAAGGAAAAUGGUGGGUAUAUUCCUUCGUAUUUGUUUUUUUUUUCUUUUAUUUUAAAGUGAUAAGGAAAAUGGUGGGUAUAUGCCUUCGUAUUUGUUUUUUUUUUCUUUUAUUUUAAUUUGAAAAACAAAAAGAAUAUGUUUUUAAAAUUUGAUAAUAUUAUCUCUUACAUCAUUUAAUAUUC